rnacentral:rRNA from 1 species
UACGUAGGGUGCGAGCGUUGUCCGGAAUUAUUGGGCGUAAAGGGCUCGUAGGCGGUUUGUCACGUCGGGAGUGAAAACUCGGGGCUUAACCCCGAGCCUGCUUCCGAUACGGGCAGACUAGAGGUAUGCAGGGGAGAACGGAAUUCCUGGUGUAGCGGUGAAAUGCGCAGAUAUCAGGAGGAACACCGGUGACGAAGGCGGUUCUCUGGGCAUUACCUGACGCUGAGGAGCGAAAGUGUGGGGAGCGAACAGG